UACGUAGGGGGCAAGCGUUGUCCGGAAUCAUUGGGCGUAAAGAGCGUGUAGGCGGCUUGGUAAGUCCGCUGUGAAAGUCCAGGGCUCAACCCUGGAAAGCCGGUGGAAACUGUCAAGCUUGAGUCCGGAAGAGGCGAGUGGAAUUCCUGGUGUAGCGGUGAAAUGCGCAGAUAUCGAGAGGAACACCAGAGGGGAAGACGGGUUGCUGGGCCGACACUGACGCUGACAGCGCGAAAGCCAGGGGAGCAAACGGG
rnacentral:rRNA from 1 species